CUCACAUUGUCUUUGAUCCCUGUGGUCUAAAUGGCUGCAUUUUAUAGACUCAGAGGCAUUUAGUGUCUGUUAAGAAAAAAGAUAAUAACCUCCAAAUUCCUAUUGCCUUUUCCCAAAUUAUUUACAGAUUUCAGUUACUAACUGAAAAGAGGGCCUUCAUUCAAAUAUGAAUAAAGGAAGUGAUGUGGCAUUUACUCAACAUUUCAUUUUUUCUUCUUGGUUCUUUUUACUUUCCAGCUGUUCAGUGUCUUUUCUCUUAUGCCCAGACUAUAUACCAGCCUUACCAGUCUUGGCAGAGGAGAGAUGUCUGUCCCAAGAGGAAUAUUGGACUCUCUCCUGUCAUUUGCAUACAAUUCACCUACCCUAAGCUCUGUUUCCAAAGAUACUGGCCUUUCCAUGCUGAAAUGACGGAGAGUGAAAAUAAGAUAUCAAAUGUUGGCAGCUAUCAGUCUACCUGCAGGGCAGCUGCUGAGACUUUACUGCCUGUAUAUGGACCCUGACUAUCCUCCAGCUCAUAUCAGGACACUUGAGAAGGACCCAAGGAUCACCACUGGGCUCUAAGAAUGAAGGAGGUGAGGACUAAAGUGAAUGUUAUUCUGCAUCACAUGGAGCCCUUCCAAAAGACUGUUGCUGAUGUGUUAUUCAUUCAGAAACCUUGAUUCCUUCCACCUUGUUCAUAACUCCUCACAUCAGAUCAAUAAAAAAAUACCAUUGAUUCUAAUUAACA
rnacentral:lncRNA from 1 species